CGGCACGCGUGGGAGAACCCGCCGGGCGGGACGCGGGGCUACUGGCCCUUUAAAGGGCCGGCGGGUCGGAGAAGCGGCUGGUUCGCGGCGCACGUGCGCGGUGCCCACAGCCUUGACAAUCAUGCAGCAAAAUCAUCAAGCCGGUGUGCAGGAGGAGAGAGAGAUGUAGCCCUUGGGAAAUGCCAGGAUGAUGGCCAGUGGCGAUAACGAGGAAGGUGAUGGUGAUGAGGAAGAUAACUAACAUUUCAGGUCUGCAAGUGAUGGUGUGAGCAUAUAGAUGUGAAGAUGGACAUUCUGUAUUCUCUCUUUCUACCUUGAUGGGUUAGAGUGUUUGUGACU